UGCCCACUCCCUUACCAGUGGCAUGUUUUUUAAAAAGUCGAAAUCCACUUACAUGUUGAAUAAAGCAACUUGAAAUUACUGAAUUCAAGGAUUCAACGCUAGACUAGCUUUUGCAGUGUGAGCUUUGCUGUGCUUUUGGCUUGUCUAUGGUGUGAGCAGCUUGAAGUCAGCUCCUGCUUUACAGGAAUCCUUGUGAUACAAUGUCAUGAAGCAAUAAUAAACUGGUAUAACUAUAGUCCAUACAGAAUUUCUUUUGACUCGGAGGAAAAUGCGGCGCAGAGAAAUGGAGCGAGAUCAGUCAAUUACAGUGAUGAAUAGAGUCAUAAUUAGAAGCGCAGUUGCCAAUUUGUCGAUUAGACUCAGCGUCUGACUGCUUUCAGACAGGAAACUUCGCAUGUUUAGCAUGAGCAUAUGAUCAGUUACUAGAGAACGCUGGCCGGUUCAGAACGGCCUCUGUAUCCCUACCACUCUACGCCUUCUCUGAUGCGCAUGUCCCUCCCAAGUCAAAAGUAAUUUUGUACGGACUAUAGAUAUACAUUAAAAUUUCUGUAAUAUAAUCUGAAUAGCUCAGCUCUGAGGUUGCUUAAAUACAGAGAGCAACUGUGUGAUAUCAGAGCGGCUAACUCAAGUUGCUCUCUUAAAACAUACAAAUUUGAAUUGUGUUGCUCCUUUGGAAAGAGAGUGUUGAAUAAAGAUUAAUACUUUCUGGUAUAGCAAAAAACGACUAGCGAAAAACCUGGAAACAAAUUAUAGAGUGUUGUGCAGUCUUUGUUUUGUUUUCUGUCUCUCAGUUGCUCUUUGUAUGUCUUCUUCCUCUUUUGUGCGCUGUCAGUUUCGGAUGUUUGUGUCCAGCAUGCAAAGUCUAAUUCUGUUGACAGCAAUUCGAAACAGUUCAGCGGAUGUUUGUUUCUAUGUGAUCAGCCUUAAUCACUGCUUUCCGAUUGAUUUCAGUUAUGCUGGUUUGAAGAAGAAUACUAUUGGCUCUCAUGGUAAUCUUCACUCAUUGGCAGAUUACAAAUAUAUGAACUCUCCAAUGAGUGCAAAAGGUAUUCUCUUCUUCUGUCCAGCAGAGCAGAACAUCAUUUGAAAAGAGGGCUUAAGAAACGAAAAUGACAAUCAAUCCAAUUCAUUCGAAAUGAGAAUUCCAAACCUCAUAUUUGCAUAAUUUCAUUAGUGAAGGUGUUAUACUCUUUAUACAGCUUUACCAUUUUUAACCUCAUAUUUGAAUAAUUUCAUUGGUGAAGGUGUUAUAAUCUUGAUACAUCUUUACAAGAUUUACCAUUUGUUAUAUUUUGAAGGGAUCUGUUUUGUCAGAAUUAUCAAUCUUCUACAUCCAACCUUUCUCUGCAUUCAACCUCCUAUGUGUAAAUCUGCAUCCAAGGUUUUUCAAGAUGCUCAGCAAGCAACUUUUAUCCAUGUCUGUGAAUAUUAUAGUUUAGGCUCAAGUGAAAAUAUUAACAAGCAUGGCCCUUCAAGCUAACAUUGUUAUCAGUGGAAAUCUUCAAUAUAGUUUAGUUUCUCUGUAGCCAGGGUCUCUCAGAAGAAGCAAAACUUGCAGAUGAAGCAAAACAACCGGACGCAGAACAACCAGAAGAAAGUGAAGGAAACGAAAGAAAAGGAAACGGAAAAAAGGAGUGUCAGUUUCCCUGCAGGAGUUGUGGAAAGCAGGAUCACUGAUUGAGGAGCUAAUGUACACAUGCCAUUGUGGAAAAUCUUACAAGCACAAGUCUAGUAUGACAAAGCACCAGCGACUGGAGUGCGGAGGCAAGGAACCUCAGUUUCAGUGCCCGUUCUGCAAUAAGCGAUGUCAUCAGAAAGGAUCACUAAAGAAACAUGUUUUUAUAAAGCACUUGGAGUUGAUGAGAGAGGCCAAACUAAGUCUGUGAACCUUUGACGUUGUUCAGCACUUCGAAGAACAUAGAUUUUUCCGUCAUUAUAUCGAUGUAUUCCUUGUUCAAAAGAUUGGCACAAGAAUAUUAUAUAAAGCUGAAUACGGUUGAAAUUGAAGUGGGUCACAAGGGACUCCACACCAGUAUUAGCUAAAAAGUUUUUUUUGUAAAUCUUUUAUAUUAUCCCUUUUUGACAGUUUCAGAACCCAAACAAUAUCGUUGAACAGACACUUCUUAUAAUAUUAAUGUGACCACUAAGGGAUUCUCCACCAAAACAACAUAGGAAUUAUUCUGUUUAUUGUCACUCAUGUGAUCAAAUUCUUAUGUAUUCUUGAAAGUAUAAAAUUUGUGAAUUGUAUUCAUUUACAGAUGUUACACUUGGAAUUUCCAACUUUUAAUUUUUUGUCAAAAAUAAAAUUUUACAUAAAAAAUCA